rnacentral:rRNA from 1 species
GAUGAACGCUGGCGGCGUGCCUAAUACAUGCAAGUCGAGCGAACAGACGAGGAGCUUGCUCCUCUGACGUUAGCGGCGGACGGGUGAGUGACACGUGGAUAACCUACCUAUAAGACUGGGAUAACUUCGGGAAACCGGAGCUAAUACCGGAUAAUAUAUUGAACCGCAUGGUUCAAUAGUGAAAGACGGUUUUGCUGUCACUUAUAGAUGGAUCCGCGCCGCAUUAGCUAGUUGGUAAGGUAACGGCUUACCAAGGCAACGAUGCAUAGCCGACCUGAGAGGGUGAUCGGCCACACUGGAACUGAGACACGGUCCAGACUCCUACGGGAGGCAGCAGUAGGGAAUCUUCCGCAAUGGGCGAAAGCCUGACGGAGCAACGCCGCGUGAGUGAUGAAGGUCUUCGGAUCGUAAAACUCUGUUAUUAGGGAAGAACAAAUGUGUAAGUAACUAUGCACGUCUUGACGGUACCUAAUCAGAAAGCCACGGCUAACUACGUG